rnacentral:tRNA from 1 species
GCCCCGGUAGUGUAGCCUGGUUAACACGCGAGCCUGUGGAGCUUGAAAACCCGGGUUCAAAUCCCGGCCGGGGCCCCA